UACGGAGGGAGCUAGCGUUGUUCGGAAUUACUGGGCGUAAAGCGCACGUAGGCGGCUUUUUAAGUCAGGGGUGAAAUCCCGGGGCUCAACCCCGGAACUGCCCUUGAAACUGUUUAGCUUGAGGAUGAGAGAGGUGAGUGGAAUUCCCAGUGUAGAGGUGAAAUUCGUAGAUAUUGGGAAGAACACCGGUGGCGAAGGCGGCUCACUGGCUCAUUACUGACGCUCAGGCGCGAUAGCGUGGGGAUCAAACAGG
rnacentral:rRNA from 1 species